UGGGGAAUUUUGGGCAAUGGGCGAAAGCCUGAUCCAGCCAUGCCGCGUGAGUGAAGAAGGCCUUCGGGUUGUAAAGCUCUUUUAGUCGGAAAGAAAGAGUUGCAAUGAAUAAUUGUGAUUUAUGACGGUACCGACAGAAAAAGCACCGGCUAACUACGUGCCAGCAGCCGCGGUAAUACGUAGGGUGCGAGCGUUAAUCGGAAUUACUGGGCGUAAAGGGUGCGCAGGCGGUCUUGCAAGUCAGAUGUGAAAGCCCCGGGCUUAACCUGGGAAUUGCGUUUGAAACUACAAGACUAGAGUGCAGCAGAGGGGAGUGGAAUUCCAUGUGUAGCAGUGAAAUGCGUAGAGAUGUGGAAGAACACCGAUGGCGAAGGCAGCUCCCUGGGUUGACACUGACGCUCAUGCACGAAAGCGUGGGGAGCAAACA
rnacentral:rRNA from 1 species